rnacentral:rRNA from 1 species
UACGUAGGGGGCGAGCGUUGCCCGAAUUUACUGGGCGUAAAGCGCACGUAGGCGGCUUCGUAAGUCUGGUGUGAAAUCUCACGGCUCAACCGGGAGGCUGCACCAGAUACUGCGGAGCUCGAGGACGGGAGAGGAGAUCGGAAUUCCCGGUGUAGCGGUGAAAUGCAUUGAUAUCGGGAGGAACACCAGUGGCGAAGGCGGAUCUCGGGCCCGGUGCUGACGUUGAGGUGCGAAAGCUGGGGGAGCGAAAGGG